rnacentral:rRNA from 1 species
UACGUAGGGUGCGAGCGUUACUCGGAAUUACUGGGCGUAAAGCGUGCGCAGGCGGUUUUGUAAGCCAGAUGUGAAAUCCCCGGGCUUAACCUGGGAAUGGCAUUUGGGACUGCAAGGCUGGAGUGUGGCAGAGGAGACUGGAAUUCCUGGUGUAGCAGUGAAAUGCGUAGAUAUCAGGAGGAACACCGAUGGCGAAGGCAGGUCUCUGGGCUGACACUGACGCUCAUGCACGAAAGCGUGGGGAGCAAACAGG